UCCCAGCAAAACCCAAGACUCGGGUUUGGCUUUUCGUGGGUGGUAUACCGGUACACAAACCCGUGUACCGGUACACAGUGCAGAGUGGGCUGUUUUCGUGGAGGGGUGUUUUUGCAAUUGUUGCAACACCUAUAUAUGACACCCCAGCCCCUUUGUGAGCUCCUUUGAGCCCUAGACCAGUGGAGAAAAGGUGAGAACUCCCCCCCUAUGGUUUCUUCUCCAUUUUUGUUAGGUUUUUGCUAGUUUUGAUCUCUUUUCUCUUCUCCUUCUUGCUUUUUGUGGGUAUUUCACCAUUGGAGAAGUGUGAGAUCUUGGUUGGAGCUUGUUUGAGGAUCAACCUUCAACCCUAGAGGACUUUGGAGCUUGGUUUGGAGCUUCUAAGAGGUUUGUAGCUUUUUCUCUCCUCUAGAUUCGGAUUUUGUUGGAUGUUACUAGAUCAAACCCUAGAUUUUGGAUUUUAGGGUUAAAUUUGGGGAUUUUCGUUUUGAGGGCUUUUGUACCAAAUUGAUGGGUUUAGAACCUUUGUUUAGGUUAGAUUUGAAGGACUCUAGCUCCCAUUUGGAGAUUGUGAGAGCUUCCUUCGCAAUCGGUGAGUUUUUCUUCAACCCUAGCCCUAUAUGCUUAAAGAUUGAACUUAGCGUCGUUCGUUUCGACUAGAUGACACUUGUUCUCGUACCUUUAGGGUACUAGGAGUGUGGUGGACGCCUUCGUCGUGACAAACGAGAGCUUUCGUUGACGACGGUGGGUUUGGCUUCCUUGAAAUCGGAGGAAAUUCCUCCUAAGUGGUUAAAUGCUUUCAUUCUCUUUAAAUUCAUGCAUAUUCACGUUUAGUAGCAUUUAUGGGAAUUUUGAAUGCUUGGAACUCAUAUGUUAUGCAUCAAGAAA
rnacentral:lncRNA from 1 species